rnacentral:rRNA from 1 species
AACGAAUGCUGGCGGCAGGCUUAACACAUGCAAGUCGAGCGCCCCGCAAGGGGAGCGGCAGACGGGUGAGUAACGCGUGGGAAUCUACCCAUCUCUACGGAAUAACUCAGGGAAACUUGUGCUAAUACCGUAUACGCCCUUUUGGGGAAAGAUCUAUCGGAGAUGGAUGAGCCCGCGUUGGAUUAGCUAGUGGGUGGGGUAAAGGCCUAACAAGGCGACGAUCCAUAGCUGGUCUGAGAGGAUGAUCAGCCACAUUGGGACUGAGACCCGGCCCAAACUCCUACGGGGGGCAGCAGUGGGGAAUAUUGGACAAUGGGCGCAAGCCUGAUCCAGCCAUGCCGCGUGAGUGAUGAAGGCCCUAGGGUUGUAAAGCUCUUUCACCGGAGAAGAUAAUGACGGUAUCCGGAGAAGAAGCCCCGGCUAACUUCGUGCCAGCCGCCGCCGUAA